rnacentral:rRNA from 1 species
CGGGGUGAGUAACACGUGGAUAAUCUGCCCCGCACAGGGGGACAACAGCUAGAAAUGGCUGCUAAUACCGCAUAAGCCUACAGCCUCGCAUGAGGGAGUAGGAAAAGAAAUUCGGUGCAGGAUGAGUCCGCGUCUGAUUAGCUAGUUGGAGGGGUAAAAGCCCACCAAGGCAACGAUCAGUAGCCGGCCUGAGAGGGCGACCGGCCACAUUGGGACUGAGACACGGCCCAAACUCCUACGGGAGGCAGCAG